AACGAACGCUGGCGGCAGGCUUAAUACAUGCAAGUCGAGCGGGCACUUCGGUGUCAGCGGCGCACGGGUGCGUAACGCGUGGGAACGUGCCUCUAGGUACGGAACAACCAAGGGAAACUUUGGCUAAUACCGUAUAAUAUCUCCGGAUCAAAGAUUUAUCGCCUAGAGAUCGGCCCGCGUCUGAUUAGGUAGUUGGUGGGGUAACAGCCUACCAAGCCGACGAUCAGUAGCUGGUCUGAGAGGAUGAUCAGCCACACUGGAACUGAGACACGGUCCAGACUCCUACGGGAGGCAGCAGUAAGGAAUAUUGGACAAUGGGCGAAAGCCUGAUCCAGCCAUGCCGCGUGAGUGAUGAAGGCCUUAGGGUUGUAAAGCUCUUUUAGAUGGGAAGAUAAUGACUGUACCAUCAGAAUAAGCCCCGGCUAAAUUCGUGCCAGCCGCCGCCGUAAAAC
rnacentral:rRNA from 1 species